ACUAAUUUGUUCUCCUUUAGUAGUCCCAUUGCCUUCGCUUCCUUCUCCACCAGCCUCCCCGUCUCCUUCCUUUUUCCGUCUCCCUCCCUGCUCUCCGGCCGACGGAUCCCUACGCCUCUGCGUCCCCCUUUUACGCAGAUUACCGGAGUCUCUCUUUCCGAGCGCCUCCGUCGCCCCUCCUCCUUACUUUGGCCGUCUCCGUUUCCGAGGUCGUUCUCUCCUUCCUCCGUCGCCUAACCUAUCGCGCCGCCAUUCCUAAUCCGGAGGAGCUAUCUCAGCAUCGCUCACUCCAAGGGAACCUGACCUGGGCCUUCUGAUCCCUUUUCUUUGCCGUUCGGCGGGUGGCCCGCCCGGCCGUCAGGCUAACUCAACAUCCCGCUCACGGUGAGGGCAGCCGGGAUGGCGAAGUGGCUUGACAUCUACAACGGCGUGCUGAUGGUUAGGGUUCAGUUGGUUCCCCAACAUUCCUUGGGACCGACAUCCUCCCUCCGCAAUCAGGGAUCUCCGCGAUCCGUAUCUCAAUAUCUUCAGGAACAUCAUCCAGAACUGUCUUGGGAACUCUCGGAUCGAUUAUCAACAGCAGCCGGAUGAUGAAGUAUUGAAGAUCUGGCAAAGAAGAAAAACUUGCUGUGAAGAAUAAGCUUCAGAAUCUGAUAUAUAUACAUCACUGUACAAGACAAGAGCUUCACCAUGUGAGAGUUACUAAUUAUCAGGCAAAAGUGGAAGACGAGGUACACUAGAACCCGAAUUCCAUCCGUGUAGAGAAUUAAGAUCCAUCUCUUGUGCUUGCUCGCUUAAAUGCACUCCAGGGCUCUUCGCGGAUGAGCUGUUCUUAUUGACCUUCGUGGGAAGAAUCUGCAGCCUGGAGUUCAGCUCUGUUCCUGAUCUCUUUGCGGCCAAUUGGUAGCUUUCGACGAGCUCAAGUUGACGAGCAAUUAUCUCGGAACAUCUUGGGAGGAGCUCUACAGGUUCUCCGCCAGGAAUUACAAUGUACUCGAUAGCCAUUCGAACCUCCUGCGGUAGUAUCAGUAUGCAGAUCAUUACAUGCGUGUUUAUCCUAAAAUACUUAAUCAUGCACAUACCUCCAGAGCAUCAAUUUCCUCCAAUGUAGGUUUUCUUUUAGGUGCAUCAUCUUCCACUUCUAUGUCUUUGUCGAUAAAGAUUGACGGUGCAUUUAGUCUGGAUCCAAACCCAUUGACCCCUAGGAUCAUCUUAACUGCCUUCACCAUUUGUGCCAUUGUACUCUUCUGCAGGUAAGAACAAAGCGCUGUAAGGGCACUGGCAAACCGAGGAAGCAGAACACCAAUUGUUUACCUUGAUUACAAAUACAGGCAGUUGGUGGAACUUUGCGACACUGCGAAUCCAAGGAUUUUGCUUCAUUUCGGAACUUGAUGCUAAAAUUGCAUUUGCUGUUCCAAUGUCUUCAGUCACAUGAAUAUCAUCCUCAUAGCCCAUCACAGUUGCUACUUGCAGCAGGUCAGCUUCCAAAGUCUUAACAAUGAAUGGAAAUAGCAUCAAAUGAUCCAAUACAGUAAAUUAUUUAAUGACAAUGAAUGAAGGACAAGUUGAAAACUGAAAAUGGAAGGCAAUUGAAUACUAAUGAACCAAGUCUGGUGACUACCUUAAAAGUAUAAACACGAACUGGCAAUCUCCUUGGUGUAUAUGAACUGCUUCUUGCUUUCUUGUUAUAUCCAGCAUUAUCAUUUCCAUCAUCAACAUCCUUUUUAGAACUAACAAACGGUUCCUCUUCAUGAAACUCCUGUGGAGCCGGAGAAGAGUUGCUCAAUUCACCUUUUGGAUCAAUCUUACGUGUUUCAAAGGGAGGAGUUUUCCCUGUAUUCACAAAAGAAUGACCAAGGCAAUGAAAUAUUUUCUGAAACAGGAAUUUGAAUAACAGGCUGACAAUUAAGGAGAGGAUAUAUAUAUAUAUAUAUAUACCUGCUAGAAUGGCAUCCACUGUAGCUUCUAGUUUGUGAUGAACUCGGCACUCAGUUUUUGAUAUCAUCUCAACAGCACAGGUAAAUGUAGGUGGCCCUUUUCUUUCAAGUAUUGUCUUUUGCACUUUCCUUUUUCUAGCCUCCUCAUCACCAAGUGUCACACUCUACAUCAGAACAAGUUCAAAGUAACCUUUAUAUGUGUAAA